rnacentral:tRNA from 1 species
GGUGUAGCUAAGUGGUAGAGUGCUUGCCUAUUGUGUUGCAAGACUCUGGGUUCAAUCCCCAGCAUC